rnacentral:rRNA from 1 species
UACGUAGGGACCAAGCGUUGUUCGGAUUUACUGGGCGUAAAGGGCGCGUAGGCGGGAUGGCAAGUCAGUCGUGAAAUCUCUCGGCUCAACCGAGAAACGUCGGCUGAUACUGCCGUUCUUGAGGGAUGCAGAGGAGACUGGAAUUCCCGGUGUAGCGGUGAAAUGUGUAGAGAUCGGGAGGAACACCGGUGGCGAAGGCGGGUCUCUGGGGCAUCUCCUGACGCUGAGGCGCGAAAGCGUGGGGAGCAAACGGG